UACGUAGGGGGCAAGCGUUGUCCGGAAUCAUUGGGCGUAAAGAGCGUGUAGGUGGCUCGGUAAGUCCGCUGUGAAAGUCCAGGGCUCAACCCUGGAAAGCCGGUGGAAACUGUCGAGCUCGAGUCCGGAAGAGGCGAGUGGAAUUCCUGGUGUAGCGGUGAAAUGCGCAGAUAUCAGGAGGAACACCAAUGGCGAAGGCAGCUCGCUGGGACGGUACUGACGCUGAGAAGCGAAAGCAUGGGGAGCGAACAGG
rnacentral:rRNA from 1 species